rnacentral:rRNA from 1 species
AUAUGAAGUCGGACCUGCCCAGUGAAUAUUAAACGGCCGCGGUACUCUGACCGUGCAAAGGUAGCAUAAUCAUUUGCCUUAUAAUUGAAGGCUGGAAUGAAUGGUUUGACAAGAAUACAACUGUCUCUUUAUGAUUACCUAGAACUUUAUUUCUGGAUGAAAAAGUCCAGAUAUUAUUAAAAGACAAGAAGACCCUAUCGAGCUUUAGAGAAAUUGGUAGAUUUAGUAAUAAUCAAUAUAAGUAAAAGAAAAACUAGCAAAUACUUUGGUUGGGGCAACUGAGGAGUAAGCAAAGCCUCCUUUAAACUGUAAAUCGUACUUGAAUUGAUCCAGAGAUUUUGAUUAAAGGAAUUAGUUACCGUAGGGAUAACAGCAUUAUCUUUUUUAAGAGCCCAUAUCGAAAAAAAGGUUUGUGACCUCGAUGUUGGACCAGAAUAUCCUAAAGAUGCAGAAGUCUUUAAGGGUUGGUCUGUUCGACCAUU